rnacentral:rRNA from 2 species
GACGGGGGCCCGCACAAGCGGCGGAGCAUGCGGAUUAAUUCGAUGCAACGCGAAGAACCUUACCAAGGCUUGACAUGCACCCAGAGCCUCCAGAGAUGGGGGUGCAUUUGGUUGGGGGUGUGCAGGUGGUGCAUGGUUGUCGUCAGCUCGUGUCGUGAGAUGUUGGGUUAAGUCCCGCAACGAGCGCAACCCUUGCCCUAUGUUGCCAGCACGUUGUGGUGGGGACUCGUGGGGGACUGCCGGGGUUAACUCGGAGGAAGGUGGGGAUGACGUCAAAUCAUCAUGCCCCUUAUGUCUUGGGCUUCACGCAUGCUACAAUGGUUGGUACAGAGUGUUGCGAUAUCGUAAGGUGGAGCGAAUCACUUAAAGCCAGUCUCAGUUCGGAUUGGGGUCUGCAACUCGACCCCAUGAAGGUGGAGUCGCUAGUAAUCGCAGAUCAGCAACGCUGCGGUGAAUACGUUCUCGGGCCUUGUACACACCGCCCGUCACGUCACGAAAGUUGGUAACACCCGAAGCUCAUGGCCUAACCGUUUUGGGGGGAGUGGUCGAAGGUGGGAUUGGCGAUUGGGACGAAGUCGUAACAAGGUAGCCGUACCGGAAGGUGCGGCUGGAUCACCUCCUUUCUAGGGA